GCCUGAUGCAAAGCACACAGUUCUUUUUCUAAAUCUCUCAGAUUUUUAGAACUGGAUUUUUUUCCAAGUAGAAGGCUUGUUGUAUAAAAUGUCCACUAAGAACCGUCUUAUGGGCAUUCCACAAUGAGGUAUCAUGUAAAUAUAGAGCCGAAUUUUCCCUAAAAUAAUUAUUAAUCGCUGAUUCAGCCAAUGUUUUGUGUUUUUCAAUUUGACAAUUUUUAUCAUGGGGUACAGAAUAGAAGAGGGGUAUCCUCGGGGUCACACCACAGCACAACAUUACUCAACAUUAGUAACACAUUAACACAACGGUGU